GGCCUCCCGUGCACUUGACUCUGCCUACCCAAAGAUCAACAUCACGAAGGCAAAAAAUGCGUCGAGAUGAGCGAGUGCCACGCUGGGCCUAUGAUUUAGAAGAGAA